UACGUAGGCAGCGAGCGUUGUUCGGAAUUACUGGGCGUAAAGAGUGUGUAGGCGGUGCUCUAAGUUCGGUGUGAAAUCUCCCGGCUUAACUGGGAGGGUGCGCCGGAAACUGGAGUGCUCGAGCGUGGGAGAGGAAAGCGGAAUUCCUGGUGUAGCGGUGGAAUGCGUAGAUAUCAGGAGGAACACCUGCGGUGUAGACGGCUUUCUGGACCAUUGCUGACGCUGAGACACGAAAGCGUGGGUAGCAAACAGG
rnacentral:rRNA from 1 species